GGGCGUCCCUGUCAUGAGAUCAAUUGCAGAAAUAAAAUGCAAUUUAGAUUUGAGCACCAAAAUAAAAAUAGUAAUAAUACACAAGUGAGGCAAGCAUAUGUUGAAUCUGAUUUGCUUCACCUUCGAUUAGAGAUGACAAUGAGUAAAUAUUCACCUUCGAUUAGAGAUGACAAUGAGUAAAUACCCGUCGGGCAUUACUAUUUCAUACUCACGGCAAAAAGAUAACUCUCUCUGGUGGUAUAGAUUUAAAAACAUGAUUUUAGAAUAGUACUGUUUUUCAAAAAAACAUGAUUUUAGAAUAGUACUGUUUUAAGAUUUUACGACAGAACUGUUGUAUUUUUUUUACAUCCCUCUACACAUUUAGUAAUCCGUUUGAAGAUAAAGUAUCUCAAAGCAUGGUAUUUAGUAUACAUAUGCAAGGUUAGUCAUAGAUAAACUUUGGGUUAGAGUAGUUUCAAAU
rnacentral:lncRNA from 1 species